UAUAAGAAUAAGUACAAUGUGAUGAAUAAUAUAAGGUAGCUAGAUUGUUUUAAAAUAUCAAUUGAAAAGUGACAGAUGCUUAGAAAUGUUGAAAGUUAGGUUAUAGUGCAUUCAACAGGUAGAAUAAAUUCGUACGUGUAGAAUCUUAUCAGAAAUCACGCGUUUUCGUCCGAAGUCAAGAUACGAGAAAGUUUGCCCCUGGGGCAACGGAGUCAUCAAGGGCGACGGAUCUUACGACUUUCUAUCCUGGGGAUUCCGCUAAUGAAACCGAUUAGCUAAAUCCAAUGACGAAACUACAGCACUAUUUCUACGAAUGCGCGACAUACACAAGCCCUGAGUCCAUCA
rnacentral:misc_RNA from 1 species